GAUGACAGAAAUCUUUAUUGCAAACUGGGGGACACCAUUAGCUACAGUGGCCUCCUGGGAUCACCAUUUGCAAUAUAAGCCCAGUGACUUAAAGGAGAGAGUGGAGAGGAAUCAUGGUAAGGCUUGUAACUCCAAGGAUGAAGAACAACCAGGGCUUGGGGAUGGGUGAAGAAUCUUCUGAAGAAGUGACCUGGCUACUCUUAUAAAGCCUUCCAGAAUGCAGAGGGACCCUGGGAAGAGCUGGAGAAGAGAAGAGGAAGAAGGAUGGGAGACGGAAGAUUCUCAGUUGGAAAAAAAAACAGCAGCAAGAAACUUUGUUUACCUUGUUGGUCAGAUUAAAUUUCUGCCACCAAAAGAAAUCGAGAUUGAAAAGCUAAGUUUAAUUAUGGAGAAAAUAAAGUUACAUUUUUUUUUGCACAACAAA
rnacentral:lncRNA from 1 species